CGCAGCGACGCCGCGUGCGGGAAGAAGGCCUUCGGGUUGUAAACCGCUUUCAGGUGGGACGAAGCCACUCGGGUUAAUAGCCCAGAGGGUGACGGUACCUCCAGAAGAAGCCCCGGCUAACUACGUGCCAGCAGCCGCGGUAAUACAGAGGGUGCAAGCGUUAAUCGGAAUUACUGGGCGUAAAGCGCGCGUAGGCGGCUAAUUAAGUCGGGUGUGAAAGCCCCGGGCUCAACCUGGGAAUUGCAUCCGAUACUGAUUGGCUAGAGUAUGAGAGAGGGAGGUAGAAUUCCACGUGUAGCGGUGAAAUGCGUAGAUAUGUGGAGGAAUACCGGUGGCGAAGGCGGCCUCCUGGCUUAAUACUGACGCUGAGGUGCGAAAGCGUGGGGAUCAAACAGGAUUAGAUACCCUGGUAGUCCACGCCGUAAACGAUGUCAACUAGCCGUUGGGCACCUUAGUGUGCUUGGUGGCGCAGCUAACGCGAUAAGUUGACCGCCUGGGGAGUACGGUCGCAAGAUUA
rnacentral:rRNA from 1 species